CCUACGGGAGGCAGCAGUGGGGAAUUUUGGACAAUGGGCGAAAGCCUGAUCCAGCCAUUCCGCGUGAGUGAAGAAGGCCUUCGGGUUGUAAAGCUCUUUCGCAAGGGAAGAAAACUUACACAAUAACACUGUGUGAGGCUGACGGUACCUUGAUAAGAAGCACCGGCUAACUACGUGCCAGCAGCCGCGGUAAUACGUAGGGUGCGAGCGUUAAUCGGAAUUACUGGGCGUAAAGCGUGCGCAGGCGGUUUGGCAAGUCAGAUGUGAAAUCCCCGAGCUCAACUUGGGAACUGCGUUUGAAACUGCCAGACUAGAAUAUGUCAGAGGGGGGUAGAAUUCCACGUGUAGCAGUGAAAUGCGUAGAGAUGUGGAGGAAUACCAAUGGCGAAGGCAGCCCCCUGGGAUAAUAUUGACGCUCAUGCACGAAAGCGUGGGGAGCAAACAGGAUUAGAUACCCUUGUAGUC
rnacentral:rRNA from 1 species